ACAAAUAAGUAAAUCUCAACUUUAGUUAUGUAAUCUCAUUAAAUUUAGAACCAACCUGUCCCAUGGAAGAAAACAAGCAGAACAAGAGCACAGGACACUAGAGAGGUACCUGUUGAUGAAAGGCUUUGCCAGGCAAUGUUUUUGCCAUCACUUCUGAGGACAACUCACUUGAGAUCUUUCAAGAACUUCUGAAGACGGGAAUUUCAUAAACAAAACUUCAUCAGAAGGCAAAGGAGGAGGCAAAUAAAACUGGUUUUAGAGCAUGAA
rnacentral:lncRNA from 1 species